AGUGAAUGCGGUCCUGUAAAUGCUGGCAAUCUUGUAGCAGUGCUGAUUGGCGAGUUGCUGCAACACCUCCGCAUAUUUUUUUUCCUGCUCCUCACUCACCUGCUUUGCCAAAAUGAACAAGAAGAAAGCAUGAUUGGGCUGUGCACCGAGGUGGCAAGGAAGCCCUGGAUGACCCUCUUAACAGAGGCUGCCAAGGCUCCAAUGCCCACUUUCUCAGCCUCCCUUGCUGCUCAGGAUGAAGUAUGUAGAGCUGGAGAAGAGACAUGGUUAGUCCUUAUGUCCUGCCUUAAAUGAUGAUGUGAUGGCCAUUAUCUGGAUCCUUCAUGGAAUUUCAGCAGUUCCAAGGUGUCAGGCCAGUAUCUGGGAUUCUGUUAGCCUUUGCUUUUUCCCCUGGGAGUCGGACAGCUGCUGCAGCUCAGUCAGACCAAACCUCUCUGAAUACCACCAAGAAUCAGGGUCUUGUUCUGUUGUCCAGGCUGGAGUGCAGUGGUACAAUCACAGCUCACUGCAGCCUCAACCUCCUGGGCUCAAGACAUCCUCCCACGUCCGCCUCUCGAGUAGCUCGGACCACAGAGUCACCCAGGCUGGAGUGCAGUGGCACAAUCUUGGCUCACUGUAACCUCUGCUUCCUGGGUUCAAGCAGUUCUCCUGCCUCAGCCUUCUAAGUAGCUGAGAUUACAGGCACGCUUUACCACGUCUGGCUAAUUUUUGUAUAAUAUUUUUAGCAGAGAUGGGGUUUUGUCAUGUUGGCUAGGCUGGUCUCGAACACCUGGCCUCAAGCAAUCCACCUGCCUCAGCCUCCCAAAGUGCUGGGAUUACAGGUGUGAGCCACUGUACCCAGCCCUUAUGUUUUAUUUAUGCAUUUAACAAAUAUUUGUUGCGUGCUGCUGAGUGCCAGGCCUGACGCUGGUUGUGAAGAUUUCAGAAGGGCCUGCCAAACCGUCCCUGUCCAAAACAGCUCACUACCAAGCACGGUUAUUUUGUAAGUGUUCUGCACUGGCUUCCUUCUUCCCUAAUCAGACCAUCUGUUGGAUCUCAUGGAGCUGUCUCCUAUUUCUCUGUAAUCAAGCCACAGUAUCUAACAUUUGGGGCCACUGGUAACUUGCCAUCUACUCCCAUGCUGGAAGCCCAGGACCCUUGAACAUAAGAGGCGCCUUCUGACACCUGUGGUGCUAUCAGAGCCUGCAGGCUGCAGACAGUGAGUCGGGAAAUGGAGAAUUCCCAGGAGUGGUAGAAGGAGCUGGGACUCGCGUCAGACAGGGAAAAGACUGACCGAGACCAGGACAGAACAAGAAGCACGAGGAAAGUCAAGAGGAGAGUAAUGACCGCAAUCCCAAGGUAGACUGGACUGGAGCGUCUGGAGGGUCCGACAGGAGAGGGGCAUUUGUGUUCAUCACGGAGCUACCAGGAGAAAGGAGAGCCUGGGUCUUAGCAAGGAUGUGGUCAGGACACAACAAUAGAGUGGACCCCUCCAGUGAGUGUGGACUAUGACCUACAGCAGGCCCAAGGGGCCCAGCCCAGGGUGGGCUGGGGAGGGCAUGGCCUGCUGUAGCAUCACGCACUGCUAGUCACCCUCUACCCCGUAUAGGUCACCAAUGAUGGAACAGCUACAGCCUCCUCCCCUUCCCUUGUACUCCCUGUGCCCUCUUCUUUUUUUUUUGAGACGGAGUCUCGCUCUGUCGCCCAGACUGGAGUGCAGUGGCGCGAUCUUGGCUCACUGCAAGCUCCGCCUCCCGGGUUCAUGCCAUUCUCCUGCCUCAGCCUCUCGAGUAGCUGGGACUACAGGCACCUGCCACGAUGCCUGGCGAAUUUUUUUGUAUUUUUUAGUAGAGAUGGGGUUUCACUGUGUUAGCCAGGAUGGUCUCGAUCCCCUGACCUUGCGAUCCGCCCACCUCAGCCUCCCGAAGUGCUGGGAUUACAGGCCUGAGCCACCGCGCCCGGCCCCUGUGCCCCCUUUCUUAAACAUGUUUUCAACAGUGGUUUAGCGAUACCCAAGCAAGGCCUUUGCAUAUGUGAGAAGUUGUGCACCAUGCAAGAGCGCGACAUGCAAACAGCACCUUUCCCCGUGCAGACACUGUAGAUUUAUAUACCCUUAGCACAUACCCUUCCAGGAACAGGGCAGCAAAGGCUCUUGAGGAAGAGAUACUUUGAAAUUUCCCACAAAGGUGCUAUGUGGGUUAGUGUUGGCAUGCUCACCAAGAGAUAUUUCAAGCUAUUUCCAAGGGUAUUGGAAAAAUCAUUUAUAAGCAAAUUCUUUUUUUACUUAUGGAAAAUUUUAAGCAUAUACAAAAAUAGACAACAGUAUCAUGAAACUCUACAUAUCCAUCACAUGCAACUUCUUUUUAAUUCUCUUAAAUUUAAAAAUAGAUACGUGAAAUAAAGCAUUUGGGGUAGAAGUUCAUUGCAAAAUCAAAUGACAGAAUUUCAUAGCUCCUAGGCAAUCAAAUACUCCCCUUGUGCCAUAAGGAGAUUUAGGCCUUUUAUUUCCUUUUAUUUUACAAUUUGUUUUCUUUGCUAUCAUUCAUAUGUAGAGUUCUCCUGCAGUAUGUAGAAGGUGGACAUUGUCAUUUUCAAAAAUGGGGUAAUUAUGGCCUAUCUACCUGACUGUGCAGCUAUCAAUAAUAAUUACUAUUAUAAAGACCGUAUAACAGGGAAAAGGGUUAUCAAUUAGUGCUAAUACACAGGGUAUAAAUUGUACAUAAACAGUGAUGUCUACUGUGUAAACACAUAGUAGAUAUGCAUGUAAACAAAAACUAGAGGUAAAUUGAAUAAAUAAAAUCAGUUUUUGCAUC